GGAAAGCUGAACGUGGAACUGGGCGAAGGUGUUGUUUUACCCAGAAUGCUGGUCAACACAGUCCUGGGGGUGGAAGAGGGAUUCAUAGCCAUCUCUUCAGAUGCUCAGGUGGUGACAGACAGAGGCUUCAACUGACAAACAACGUGACGCAUGGGACAGGGACGCUCUUCAUCUCAGCUCAAUUGCUUCAAACUUUCAGCCUGUGAACAACUGGAUGGGUCUGACACAAGUGUGUUUACUGGGGGAAGCUCCAGCUCCCGUCUGGAUUCUGGACUGUAAAUGAAUAACAAACCUUGGUGCAGUACAUCAUCUCAAUAUACACAUCUACAGGAUUCAUGUCAAAUUAACAGUUAACAGCUGCAGUUCUUAAUGAAUUCACAAUUUGUUUUAAACAAUGUAUUAAAAUAUUUUUAAAGUGC